rnacentral:rRNA from 1 species
UACGGAGGGGGGCUAGCGUUGUUCGGAAUUACUGGGCGUAAAGCGCACGUAGGCGGCUAUUCAAGUCAGAGGUGAAAGCCCGGGGCUCAACCCCCGGAACUGCCUUUGAAACUAGAUAGCUUGAAUCACGGAGAGGGUGGGUGGAAUUCCGAGUGUAGAGGUGAAAUUCGUAGAUAUUGGGGAGGAACACCCUGUGGCGAAAGCGGCUCACUGGACCAUAACUGACGCUGAUGCACGAAAGCUGGGGGGAGCAAACAGG